GUUUAGGAGAGGUGCUGGCUAGCAGAGUAGAACACCUGUUUAGGAGAGGUCCUGGCUAGCAGAGUAGAACACCUGUUUAGGAGAGGUGCUGGCUAGCAGAGUAGAACACCUAUUUAGGAGAGGUGCUGGCUAGCAGAGUAGGACACCAAUUUAGGCGAGGUGCUGGCUAGCGGAGGAGAACACUUGAAAAAUUAGAGCCGCACAGAGAGACGCAAUAAUUUAAUAACCAACGUUUCGACAUACAAGCUGUCUUCAUCAGGGUAUAAUAACAAACAAUGCAGGGUGGCUAGUUUAUAUAGUGUCAAUAGACACACACAGGUGACUGUAACCAUGGCCGGGUGUGGCCCGAUAUCAUUGGUUAAUUCUCAGAUAUAAAAUAACAUUCCAAAAACAUGAAUGGAUAGCAUACGAUCAUAGAUACAAUUUGGCUACAUAGGCCUAAAAACGUUUACAAUGAGUAGCAAAAUCACAAGAAUGGCUUCAGAUCAACGUCUACGGUGAGACCAAAAGGGAGCAAAGGUCUUUAAAUUAAAGAUCCAGGCAGCCUCUCGUUUUAACAAUAAAUUGUCGAGGUCACUCCCUCUCCUCGGGAGGGUGACAUGUUCGAUGCCAAUAUAACGUAGAGAUGAAAUCGAGUGAUUUGCUUCCAAAAAGUGGGCCGCAACUGGAUAAAUCGAGUUUUUGCACCUGAUGGUGCUACGAUUCUCGGAGAUUCGUACUUUUAAUUCGCGCUUUGUUUUAGCCACAUCAUUUUACCACAAGGACAAGUUCUAAGAUAAAUAACUGCCUUAGUGGAACACGUAAUAACACCUUUGAUUGGGAUCGAUUUCCCUGUUUGGGGGUGUUUGAAGGAUCUACAUUUAUAAGUGCCAUUGCAUUGAGCACAGCCAUUACACUUGUAGUUUCCAUCCAGUAGAGGCGCAAAUAGGCGUUGUGCAGGAAUAUCUUGGGUGGUAAAAUCAGAGUUGACCAAUUGAUCUCUGAGUUUUCUGCACCGCGAGAAUACAACCAAGGGAAGGGCUGAAAACACAUUACCGAUACUGUCAUCGGAUCUUAGAAUGUGCCGAUGUUUGUGAACGAUUCCCUUAAUAUGUUCAGAGCACUUUGAAUAGCGGGUAGUUAGAACGCAAGAAUGCUCAUUUUGCGAGACUGACCUUGAAAAAGAUCAUGUCUCGGUUUGUUUUGAAUUUUCUCAACGGCUGUAUUAAUCUGACCCUUUUUGUACCCCCCACCCCCUCUCCUUGAAUUUUCUUUGAGUCUCAGCCAUAUUUCUGUCAAGUCUGAUUGUUUUUUUUGCAUAUUCUUUUGAUAUUGACAGAUUUGGCUGUAGGGCAAACUGUUUUUCAAGGGAAGCGGGUGACAACUAUCAGCCCUCAACCAACUGUUAUGAUCAGUAGGUUUCCUUUUACGAUCAGUAGGUUUCCUGUUACGAUCAGUAGGUUUCCUGUUACGAUCAGUAGGUUUCCUGUUACGAUCAGUAGGUUUCCUGUUACGAUCGGUAGGUUUCCUGUUACGAUCGGUAGGUUUCCUGUUACGAUCGGUAGGUUUCCUGUUACGAUCAGUAGGUUUCCUGUAAAGAUCAGUGUAUAGAACAUUAUCUAACCACACAAGAUCAGAAGAUCCAGGAAACUGAUUUGACGGGUGUCAGACUGCAUAGUAAAUCAGGUGCUCAGAACAAGAUUUAAAAAACAGCCUAGAAACGCCUGGAGCUGUUUGGCAUCACCCCUCCACAGAACACAAAUAUCAUCAAUAUACCGUCUCCAAAUCAUGAUGUUAGGCAAGAAAACAUUUUUGAGAGGAUUGAAAAUAGACUUGUUUCUCCAUGUAACCCACAUCCAAAUCAGCAUAGUUAGGAGCCAAGGGGG
rnacentral:lncRNA from 1 species